rnacentral:rRNA from 1 species
GAUGAACGCUAGCGGCAGGCCUAACACAUGCAAGUCGAGGGGUAACAGAGGGUGCUUGCACCUUGCUGACGACCGGCGCACGGGUGCGGAACGCGUAUCGAACCUGCCCCUUUCAGAGGAAUAGCCCAUGGAAACGUGGAUUAAUGCUUCAUAGUAUCAUUUAGUGGCAUCAUUGAAUGAUUAAAGAUUUAUCGGAAAGGGAUGGCGAUGCGUAUCAUUAGCUAGUUGGUAAGGUAACGGCUUACCAAGGCAACGAUGAUUAGGGGCCCUGAGAGGGGGAUCCCCCACACUGGUACUGAGACACGGACCAGACUCCUACGGGAGGCAGCAGUGAGGAAUAUUGGACAAUGGCCGCAAGGUUGAUCCAGCCAUGCCGCGUGCAGGAUGACUGCCCUAUGGGUUGUAAACUGCUUUUAUACAGGAAGAAACCUUUUCACGUGUGAGAAGCUGACGGUACUGUAAGAAUAAGGACCGGCUAACUCCG